GCUCUCCUCACCAGCGAGGAGGCCCAGGCCGAGGUAGAGGUGCAGCAGACUGCGGGCGAAAGCCGAAAAGACGAAGCCGAGCGAGAGAUCACCACCGGGGACUGAGCCACCUGGGACGCGGAGUUUCGGAGGGCGGGAGCGAGCUGAAACACUUAGCCAAUCCGCCGAGCCGCGGGUGAGACCAGACGCCGAGUCCCACGAGGAUUGAAUUAUCCACACCCACAACCUCAAUCCCCAGGAAGGGAGCAGCGGGGAAUGAAUGCCACCCGCCCCGCCCGACUAACGCCCACGCACCUGUCGCCUGCCGAGCACGGAGGAGACGCAUGGAUUACAAUCCCCAGCAAGCCCAGGGUGCGCUGCUAAAACAUGGAAAUAGGGGUCGUCCCCAGUGCGGGGGACCAACACAGCAUAUGAGUAGUUUUGCUCUUAGGAACAUUGCUGAGGACCAGGACUAACAGGAAGCCACUCAUGGUGCAGCAAGAGCUCCUCUGGAAAGUUCCCUGAGCACGCCAGCGCCCAUCCGCCUCUGUUAAUCCACACUGAGCACCUCUCAGCCUGCAGUGAAGUCAUCCAUUUUUGUCCUCUGCUCUUUAUUUCCCAUGUUCCGCACCCAAAGAUGCCGCAGCUCUGCAGACCUGGCAAACAUACAGGAACACAGGCCUCGGUCUCCCACGCUCCCAGAGCAAGCUGGUCCUCAAUUGCCGUGCACCAGACCUGCCAGUAGCCAGCUGCCAGGUCCUGGCUGCUGCUGUCCAUUACUGGAGUCCUGGCGUCCUACCUCUGGAAACGUGGGCUGCCAUCAUCCUGGCUCAUCCCGGACAUGGCUAAGACGACAGCAGGGUUGUCCUGAAGUACGUUCUCGCUCCCCUCAGUGGGUCUGAGUCCCGAAGGCCACCCACUACAGGGCCACAUGCAAUCGAAUCCAGCAAAGUGGCCUCACCUGCCCCCAAUUCCUCUCCAUCCCAUCCCGGCAAGCUGCUUCCCACACCCUCCCUCACCACGCGGGACCUCACAAGGCUUGGCUAGCCCUAGGAAUCCUGUCCAAGGCUGUCUUUCUCCACAAUGUUGCAGACCAGUUAUGGCAAACCGAACGACAACCGUUGGGGGGGAAAUUGUUAAAUCUUUACAGAUAUAUUAUACUUAGUGUGGAAUGUGAGUGUAUUUUAAUGUGCUCCUUGCUGAGAGGUGAUAUAGCCUGGUAGUGAGAAUGUGAACCUGAGAAACAGCCCGUCUGGAUUCAAGUUCUCUUUGCCAUUUACCAGUUAUACAAUGUAGAGCAAAUGAUUUCAUUUCACUGUGUAAUGGUUCCUCACCCAUUAAGAAAAGGAAAGAAGAUGAUGGUAAUGAUAGUUUCUACUUCUGAGGGGGGAAAUAGUCAUUCCUAUGAUCUGAGUGUUUGUAUCCCUCCAAAACUCAUAUGUUGACAUCUAAUCCCUUAUGUAAUCGUAUUAAGUGGUUGUGCCUUCAAGAGGUGAUUAGGUCAUAAGGGGGAGCCCUCGUGAAUAGGAUUAGUGCCCUUAUAAUAGAGGUCCAAGAGAGCGUGUUCACUCCUUCUGCCAUGUGAGGAGGUAGCUAAGAGGCACCACAAUGAAGCAGAGGGCAUGCUCUCAUCAGACACCUUGUCUGCCAGCACCUUCUGGGACUUCCCCGCCUCCAGAACUGUGAGCAGUACAUUUAUAUUGUUUACAAAUUACCUUGUUUAAGGCAUGUUGUUAUAGCAGUACAAAUGGACUGAGACAAUAAUAAUCAUCCCUGGUUACUAUUAGCACAACUUCAGAUUGUUGUGAGGAUUAAAGGAGUUAAUAGUUUUAAAUAUUUUGGAAUUA